rnacentral:rRNA from 1 species
AACGUAGGUGGCGAGCGUUAUUCGGAAUUACUGGGCUUAAAGAGUUCGUAGGCGGCAUGAAAAGUAGGGUGUGAAAGCCCUCGGCUCAACCGAGGAAUAGCGCUCUAAACUGUCGUGCUAGAGGAAGCUAGAGGUGAGCGGAACUGAUGGUGGAGCGGUGAAAUGCGUUGAUAUCAUCAGGAACACCGGAGGCGAAGGCGGCUCACUGGGGCUUUUCUGACGCUGAGGAACGAAAGCCAGGGUAGCGAACGGG